UACGGAGGAUCCAAGCGUUAUCCGGAUUCAUUGGGUUUAAAGGGUGCGUAGGCGGAAUGAUAAGUCAGUGGUGAAAGCCUGCAGCUUAACUGCAGAACUGCCAUUGAUACUGUCAAUCUUGAGUACAUUUGAUGAGGGCGGAAUGUGUCAUGUAGCGGUGAAAUGCUUAGAUAUGACACAGAACACCGAUUGCGAAGGCAGCUCUCAAAACUGUAACUGACGCUGAGGCACGAAAGCGUGGGGAGCAAACAGG
rnacentral:rRNA from 1 species